rnacentral:rRNA from 1 species
UACAGAGGUCUCAAGCGCUGUUCGGAUUCAUUGGGCGUAAAGGGCGCGUAGGCGGCGGGGUAAGUCGGGUGUGAAAUCUCAGAGCUCAACUCUGAAACUGCACUCGAUACUGCUCUGCUUGAGGACUGGAGAGGAGACUGGAAUUCACGGUGUAGCAGUGAAAUGCGUAGAUAUCGUGAGGAAGACCAGUGGCGAAGGCGGGUCUCUGGACAGUUCCUGACGCUGAGGCGCGAAGGCCAGGGGGGCAAACGGG